rnacentral:rRNA from 1 species
UGUUGCAGUUAAAAGCUCGUAGUUGGAUCUAGGGACGCGCAUUUCAAGCGUCCGCACUAUCGGGUCAAACCGGUAGUGCGUGGCGUUGCGGGCUCGGUCCGUUGGUGCCUACUAAAGCAUCAGCGUGUCAACCGGCCCGCCCGUCCCCUCCUUCUGGAUUCCCGUUCCUGCUAUUGAGUUAGUGGGGACGUCACAGGGGGUCCAUCGUCGGUCAGCAAUGGCCGGCGGUGGAUCCCUGGGGCCCAGAUCGUUUACCGUGAAAAAAUUAGAGUGUUCAAAGCAGGCAGAUCCAAUUUUCUGCCACCGAAUACAUUAGCAUGGGAUAAUGGAAUAGGACCCUGUCCUCCUAUUUUCAGUUGGUUUUGGCACGCGAGGACCAGGGUAAUGAUUAAUAGGGAUAGUUGGGGGCAUUAAUAUUUAAUUGUCAGAGGUGAAAUUCUUGGAUUUAUGAAAGAUUAACUUCUGCGAAAGCAUCUGCCAAGGAUGUUUUCAUUAAUCAAGAACGAAAGUUAGGGGAUCGAAGACGAUCAGAUACCGUCGUAGUCUUAACCAUAAACGAUGCCGACCAGCGAUUAGGAGACGUUGAAUACAAAACACCACCAUCGGUGCGGUCGUCCUUGGCGCGUCGCGGCUUGCCGUGGCGUGCGAGGGCGGUUUAGCCUGAUGGCAUCGGUGAAUGACUCCCCUAGCAGCUUGUGAGAAAUCAUAAGUCUUUGGGUUCCGGGGGGAGUAUGGUCGCAAGGCUGAAACUUAAAGGAAUUGACGGAAGGGCACACCAGGAGUGGA